rfam:Lactobacillus reuteri DSM 20016, complete genome.
AUUGCAUAAACGGGGAGCUUGCAGACAGGCUGAGAGGGGACUAUGCGUCUCGACCCAAUGAACCUGAUUUGGAUAAUGCCAACGUAGGAAGGAUUAAUAAAGGACGACC